UCCAACUGACAAUCGAGGGCCCAUCAUCCCUGGUGAGAAGAUCUCCAGGAAAACCCAUUCUAAGAUAUGAGGACCAAAGCCACCCCGGGCAACCUCUCCUAGCAAGCCUUGUCCCCCGCAGCCGUGGUGGGUGCUCCUCUGGCUUCAAAGUUAGACUUGAACAGUACUACAUCCUAUUCUCUGAACUGCUUCAAUUUUUUUUUUCCCUUCAAGACAAACAGCCGCAAAGCUCCGUCUCCUAAUGAAACUGUUCGAUGUUAAUUAAUUAUACAGCUGCCUCAUUUGCAUGCACAGGCUGUAGCUUCCGGGCUUCCCUCCCCCAUCCUCUGCCAGGAGUAGGCUUGCACCCUUGGGGAAAAGCUGGAGACUCGGUACCAUAGAAAUCAAAUCUACUCUCGGAACAUUACAGAUUUACUAUCUUGGAGCAGAUUCAUAACAAGGAAGACAAAGGAUGCGAAACUGCAGCAAGUGACACAGAACGGUGACAGCGUGAACGUGGCCACAGCACUGGGAGGAGGGACUUCUCGAAGUCCACCCUGCAAGGGACAGCAAGGCCAGGGUGGUGAGUGCUGGGGUGUGCGAGUUACACCUCCCAUCACGGUGACCAAAUACCCAAUGAAAGCAGCGGGACGGAAAGGAGGAUUUGUUUCAACCGUGGCUUGAAGAGCUGCAGUCCCUCGUGGUGGCCCCAAAUCAACAGAGCCUACUGACUAUGACUGAGACUUCUGAAACAGUGACCCCAAAUAAGCCAUUGCCUCUCGUAUAGCUUGGGUAUGUUGUCACAGCAACACAAGUUUCCUGACACACACUCAAGUUAUUCCUCACUGCUUCCAGCAGAGUAGCUGUUUGAAAGACAGUUGGGUCCUCCUCCUCAACUUUAAGCUCUGCUUGCAAAUGUUCCUAACAGACCUGCUACUCCUCCAAGCACUGAUUCUAAUUCCUGCUGGUCUAUACUCAGUCCAUCUGGAAAGCUUCCCAGAAGAACAUGAUUAGGGCCAGCAGUUGGGCUGCCUCACAGGUGUCUGGCACACAUCAACUCAUGAGACCCUAAGAGGCAGGUAGGCCUUCUAGUGGUCCUUGCUUUAUGGAUGGGGAAAUCAAGGCUCAGAGAAGUGAGCAAAUUGACCAGCCCUACAUGGCUGCUCAGUGCAAAUGACUCGAGUCAAGGAAGUGGAAAGGAGAACAUCUCAGCGGCCUCCUCAGGCCUGGACUACACUCAGGAGUUUGCGGAUCAGCAGGAUACUGUGACACACACAUCUGUAACCCCAGCACUCAGGAGUGGAAGGUAGGAGGGUCUUGAGAUCAUGAGUUUGAGGCCAGGUUUGGCCACAUAGUGAGUCCAUUCUUAGAAAAAAAGAAAAGAAAAAGGAAUUUACAGAUUAAUCCAAAUGAAUUCAUUACUUAAUCACAUUUACCAUUUGUCCUCCUUCUAAUGCCUGGGUUCCAGGAGGCCAAAUUUUUUGCC